rnacentral:lncRNA from 1 species
AGAUGGGACUACUACUAUGCACACUUUCCGUAUUUAUUUCAAUAUAAAUGUGAAACUCAUUUUAAGAUGGAAUUUGGAAUUGUUACAGUUGUCAUUGCUCGCACAGUCUUAAAACACGUAUCCCGCACUCCCAAAUGGCUGGUACAACCUUGCACGUGCAGGCAGCAGCGCUGGUGUAACCACUACUCUCUGUGCUUUCCCAUCUACCCCAGGGAAAGAGGACGCAUCUGAUCUGAGUUUGGAAGGAGACGUGAACAUGUCGCAGGUGGCCCCUUUUUCUUCUUUGUCUUUCAGGUGCAGCUGUGAACCCUCUAGGGUUGCAUGACCCCCAGAGCCUAAUUUUUGGCUGCGGCACGGCUUUGCCUCAAAGUUGGGUUCACUGAGGGGAAGCUCAUUUGCUUCUGAAGAUAUGCCCUUUUUAUUUUAUUAAUUUUAUUUAAAAUAAAGGUGAUACUUUGGCUCCCAUCUGCUUCUUUUUCUUUUCUCAGUUGAUUCAAAACCCGAGUGGCUGAAAAGCAGCACUGUCAUGGAGCUGUCACAAACCUCAAACAAAUAGGCUCACUUCCCCCCUUUUAGCCCUUACCGCUAGCCAAGAUGGCGAACUCGUCUUCACCAACAGACAUGAAAACACAAGAUGAUGUGAGGUGGGGGGUGGGGGUGGGGGUUGCAUACAUGUGCGUGUGUGUGGUACUGGGGUGUGAACCCAGGGGACUUUGCACUGAACUACAGGCCUAGCCAUUUUUUAUUUUUUAGUUUUGAAAUAAGGUCUUGCUAAGAAAGUAGUUAAGUUGCCCAGGCUGGGCUUGGAUUUACAGUCUUCUUGCCUCAGCUUCCCAGAGUGCUGGGAUUACAGGUGAGUGCCAAUAUUUUGGAACCAUUAGGUGUGGCCUUCAUACUCAAAGCAAGUCAGUUAAUGGUUCACUAAACUGCCUUUGAGGCAAACAACAAAAACAAUUCACAUUUUGUACAUAAUAUAUACUUACAACAUAGGUAUAAUUUUACUGAAAUACUUAUCUUUUGUUUUCCUAUGUUACAAAAAAAUAGUAAAAGAAAAAAGUAGUAAAAAUUGCACACACCAAUUUUCCAUUUAUCUCUGCAGAACUGACAUUGGACAGGUAUCAACACUUGCUCUAACAUCCAAGUAACUUUAGUGUAAGUCUGCUCUUCCAUUAUGUAUUUAAAGUAUGUCACAGCUUCAUGCAAACAUACAGAAAAGCAGUCAUGUAUAUGCACAGAUUUCAAAUGCUAGGAGUGGGGACACCACACUGUGAUAAUUCUUCAUUUAGACUGUCCUUUCAAGAGACAUGACAUAUUUAAAAUACUCAUACACAGUUUAAAAAAGAGAAGUGCUCAUUCCUAAAAAAGCCACAAUUGUUGAAAAUACCAAGUAGCUGAUUCUAGUAAGGAACUUAUUACAUAGAAAACCCAUACACCAAAAUCACCUUUUCUCUGCUUACUAGAAUAUCUAAUCCUACUUCUUUUUAAAACAAAUAAAAUCAGCAUUUUUUCAGGGUUGAUUUUUGUUGGCAUAUGUGACAUGAAGGGAACU